rnacentral:rRNA from 1 species
GACGUAGGUGGCGAACGUUAUCCGGAAUCAUUGGGCGUAAAGGGUGCGUAGAUGGCAUGAUAAGUUAUUAGUGGGAAAUCGAGGCUCAACCUCGUGGAAGCUAGUAAUACUGUUUUGCUUGAGUGCAGAAGAGGUUAACGGAACUCCAUGUGGAGCGGUAAAAUGCGUAGAUAUAUGGAAGAACACCAAUAACGGCGAAGGCAGUUAACUAUUCUGUUACUGACAUUGAGGCACGAAAGCGUGGGGAGCAAAACGG